AGUGAACGCUGGCGGUAGGCCUAACACAUGCAAGUCGAACGGCAGCACAGUAAGAGCUUGCUCUUACGGGUGGCGAGUGGCGGACGGGUGAGGAAUACAUCGGAAUCUACUUUUUCGUGGGGAUAACGUAGGGGAAACUACGGUAAUACCGCCUACGACCUACGGGUGAAAAGAAGGGGACUUUCGACCUUGGGUCAAUUGAUUAGCCGAUGUCGGAUUAGCUAGUUGGCGGGGUAAAGGCCCACCAAGGCGACGAUCCGUAGCUGGUCUGAGAGGAUGAUCAGCCACACUGGAACUGAGACACGGUCCAGACUCCUACGGGAGGCAGCAGUGGGGAAUAUUGGACAAUGGGCGCAAGCCUGAUCCAGCCAUACCGCGUGGGUGAAGAAGGCCUUCGGGUUGUAAAGCCCUUUUGUUGGGAAAGAAAAGCAGCAGGUUAAUACCCCGCUGUUCUGACGGUACCCAAAGAAUAAGCACCGGCUAACUUCGUG
rnacentral:rRNA from 1 species